GGGUCAAUGAUGACAACAGAAAGUCUAGAACAGGAUGAUGACAUAAAAAUCAUGCUGAAUUGAUCCAUGCUUAUCACCC
ensembl:snoRNA LOC120100292 small nucleolar RNA SNORD115